rnacentral:lncRNA from 1 species
UUUUGUUUAUUAAAAGAAAAUGUAACAAUUUCUAUCAAUAACACUUGCAUACGGAGGUAUACUUUACAUUACUCUUUCGUUAAAAAAAAUAAAUAUAUUUUUGGAGACUUUGGAAAAAUAAGGAUGGCCCAAUACUUGCAACACACUCCUUAUGUUCCUUACAAUGCACUGUGCCAUUUAUAUGUACUGCAAGUACAAGGUCUUAGCACUUUAUAGUCCACAAAAUAACCCUAUGCAGCAUAAUUUUAUCUUCUUCUCUGCAUUUAGAAUAUUUCCUUUGUUAUCCUUUUUUUGUGAGACUAUGAGUUUGCUUAAUUCCAGGCUGGUCCAAUACUUAGAUUUUUUAAAGAAUUAUUUUACAAAGCCUUAGACCACAGAAAUAUGUAAUUCCUUUUAAAUACCAAUGAGAAUAUUUUCACAUAGACAUUUUCUUGCAGUAUUCACAACUUAAACAACUGCAUCAAUUAGAAUUCAAAACCAAAAACAUUUACAAUUCUUUUGGUUUUCUAAGAAGAAAUCAAAAAAUAAAGUGCAUAACAGUGAAAUUACUUUCAACUUUUACAGUCUUCUAUGGAUAUGUAAUAAAUGGCAACACUGAUAAACAAAUUAAUUUGUUUUCAAUAUAUUAAACUAAUGCCAGUUGAAUUCAAUCUCCUCAUCAUCCUUGAAGUGUAUUAAAUUACAUUUUCACUGUUUUUAGGCUGCCAGUGUAUUUUCACCUUUUAAAAUACUUAUACAGACCAUUUUCUCAGAUGACGUGUCAAGAUUAUCGAGUGCCCUCACCAUUGCAAGAAAGAGGAUUUGUUUGAAGGAAUACACCCAAUUAAUUUGGUGUAAAUGUACUACCUGUUGAAUAGCUGUUGCAGAAAUGAAAUUGUAAACUGGAAAGCCCUUAAGCACCAUUUUCUAUGUGCCAUUUAACUUUACUCAGUAUUUGAAAAACUGGCAUAUUUCAGCCCUUAGUUUUUAAGCUGCAACAGGAUUUCUAUUUAGGCUAAUAGGAAAAUAAUUGAGAAUGCGAGUACACAAAAGACCCAGUAAAGCUUUAAGCAAAGUCUAUACAAUCAGACUUAAC